rnacentral:rRNA from 1 species
UACGUAGGGCGCAAGCGUUGUCCGGAAUUAUUGGGCGUAAAGAGCUCGUAGGCGGCCUGUCGCGUCUGCUGUGAAAUCCCGGGGCUUAACCCCGGGCGUGCAGUGGAUACGGGCUGGCUGGAGGCAGGCAGGGGAGAACGGAAUUCCCGGUGUAGCGGUGAAAUGCGCAGAUAUCAGGAGGAACACCGGUGGCGAAGGCGGGUCUCUGGGCCGAUACUGACGCUGAGGAGCGAAAGCGUGGGGAGCGAACAGG